ACUUACAGUAAAAAGGUAAUAUCAACUGAGAAACCUUUACCCUUUGGCGGCCUUUCUUCUUCUCAAAGGAACUUGUUAAAUAAUCGAAAUUACCCGCUAAACCCCUCUUUCCUUAAGCCUUUAUACCGUCGUCUUAAGAAUCUAUUUAAACAUAUGACUCCAAAAUGACCAAAUCAAAAAAGUCAGAUCAAGGUGAAGCCUAUAAGAAAGAAUUAAUGAGUUAUACAUAAAAAACAUUUAAGGAUUUUGUAAAAAAAGACAAAUAAAUUAAGAUUUGACAGUACCUCAAAAUUAUAAUAUUUCUUGAAAACAGUAAAAAAAGGUGU
rnacentral:rRNA from 1 species